AUCGAAUUGUGCACGGUCUGAGUUUUUAAUGGUAAGUGCGCGACAAUGUAUUCAUUUUAAGCAACUUGACACUUCACUAUAUAACAGAGUCAGACAUUGUACUUAUAACCCCACUAUUUCAAUGUGAGAACUAGUGUAUUGUUAGUAGUUAGUAGCUAGUUAUAGAUCAGAUUAUUGUUGUUUUGGGGAGCAGUUCUGGAGGAGGAGCAGGAAGGAGGAGGAGCCUGGAACUUAUUUAUAGAACUGAGUUCAGGUGUGAGCCUUGCGGCCCACUUGCAGCAGAAGCCCAGCCUCUCCCGUCGACAAUUGUUUUUCUGGGUGAAAAUUGAUGCAAUGCAGACUUUUACCUGAAGUUCUUGACGUGAUCGUCCACACCAGACAGAGAAAGAGCGUUGCUGACUGCGCUCACAAAUGUCACUGCCUGCGUGGACGAACCCCAGUUCACAUCUGGAAAGAAAAUAAAAAAAGUCCAAACAGUUGCACUGCAUUUAGAAAAGCAUGGCAAGUUCCUGACCUGGAAGACCUUGGGAGCACUGACAAGGGAAGCCAGGGCUGAGGAGAGAGUAGCGGAGAAUGUUCCGGCAAUGAUGAGGGGACCAAAC